GUGAGCUUACUUCUCUCCACCCACUUCUUACCAAGAACUCCUUAACUUGAAGGUGAACCUUCAAGCCUGAUCCCAGAGAGUUACCCGAAAAGUGAUCUGAGUAGUUAUUGAACUGAAAGAACAAAUUACCUACUUCAGGCGGUGGGGAAACGUAUGGAAAUUAUAUUAGAACUUCAGCAAAGUGCACAGCUGCAUAACACAGAAGCCGGGACUCAGAUUGACAGGCAAAUAAGCCAGCUCGUGGAAGGGGCCUCUGGGUGGCAGCUCUGGGCUACUGGGUGAUGGACAACUGUAGGCAAAACUGAAAUGGAACAGGGGCAGAAAAUAGCACACUUUUACUCUACGCAACCGUUGCUUUCGCCUGAUCUUCAGGAAUUUUACUGGGAUUACUGUUCAGUUGAAAUUCCAAGCAUUCUCUUCAAAUGGUUACUAUUGAUCAUUAAAAUGGCAUUGUGAAGGGAUGACACAGAAAUAACAGACCUUGUCACUGCUUCUGAGAUAAAGAAAACUCUUGAUGUCAAGACUAAACGGAGAGGAGAAUGAAAUACACGAUAUGGGUAUCUUGAAGCUUAAUCCUAGAACUUUUCACACAUCUAUAAAGGGAAAAACUUAAAAUGGAUAUGAGGAGUGAAGAAAGUGAUCAUAGGAGAAAUCACCUCAGGUAUCUGAUGAUUUGUGAGCACCAAGUGACCAUUCUGUGGAAUCAUCUUUCCUUGCCUUUGAAUUAGCUUUCCCUAGACCAUGAGUCAACAUCUGUAUUUUAUCCAUCCAAAUUGAAUUCCUAAGAGCGUAUGAUGUGUCAGUCUCCAUGUGGGACAGGAACAUGGAGGUGAAUGAACAUAAUAAUUUUGGGAAAUACAUUAGACUGAAAAUCAACAAAGAUGAGAACUGAUCCUGACACUGACUCACCCAGCUUGGAUAGCACAUCUUGAAGAAGUCCUCCCUGCACCUCUCCCCAAAAAGAGAAACAUUGUUCCACUGUACUGUCCUCCAAUUUGCACUCACACCUUCUCUAUUGUAGUUAUGUGUUAACGUGCCUAUUUUUUGUAUCUGAUAGUGAGUUCCCCAGUGGAAGACACUUUGUCUUUUUUUUCUUGGCAACUUUAGCAUAGGGCCUGGCACAUUGUUGAUGCUCAAGAAAUGUUUCUUGUCUUGACUCAAUUGAAAUGAACAUUAAUCUUUGAUUAACUCUGGGAAAAUGCCACAAAAUUAGUUAAGACUAUCAGGAAGUCUUUAUUUCAGUUUUGAUUAAGCAAUAACUUGAACCUCAAAAUGUCUCAGUACUUGAUUUAGAGACAUAUAACACUGGGUGAAUAACACUUAUAUUUUUAUGUUUCUUGAAGAAUAUGCUUAUCCUUUCAUGGAAAGGAUCUACUGAAUGAAUUCAUAGAAGGCAAACAUGAGCAAAAUGAAGUGGCCCGUGUGUGUGUGUGUGUGUGUGUGUGUGUGUGUGUGUGUGUGUGUGUGUGUGAUUUGAAUGUUAGAUGGGAGAAGGGUGUAUUAAGAGAGCAGAUCUUGUCUGUGAUAGUCACUAGCAGUGACAGCCACUACCCAAUGCCUACUCAAUAUCCACUUCCCCUUUCUUACCUAACAGCCAUUCCAAUUGAGUAGAAGUUUGUCCAGCUAAAAACAUUGCUUUGGCAGCUUCCGGUGCAGAUGGAGGCAGUCAUGUAACUGAAUUCUGGCCAAUGACAAAAUUAGUGGAGGGCUCUGGUUGGGGCUUCCAGGAAAGCUUCAUAAAAGAGAGAAACUCACUGGGAUGGUCCUUUAUUCCCUCCACCUUCCUCCUAGAUGGAUGCCUGGAGGAACAGCCAUUUUGCAAUCAUGAGGAUUAAAUUCACAUUGUAGGGUUGGUUUCAAUAGGAACACAGAGGAAAUCUGGAUCCUUGAUGAUGCCGAGCAUCAGUACUCAUCCUAUCUUCCUAUCCAUGGGGUUGUUGCAUGAGACAAAUAAACCCCUUCCUUGUUUUAUUCACUGUUGGCUUUUCUUGAAACUCAAUACAAUCUGAUACAUUUGCCCUCCCAAGGAAAAAGGAAAGAAAUGACUUUCAAAGUCUUAUGAGACUUAUAUAUGUCCAAAACUACUCUACUGAAAUAACUCCAUCUUUGCCCAUGGUGCAAGGUAUGACAUUUCUAUUUAUUUCUUUGUUAGUUUUUCCUGAAACCUACAUUUAAAGAACCCAAGAAAGAUGUCUUAGAGGUAAAUGUGUAAUUUCUGUAGGCCUCAGUAGAUAAAUUCAGUUAACUAUAUGCAUGCCUAGGUUUUGGCAAAAAUCAAAUAAGCAACAUUCCUCACACACUGUUUUAAGUAAGUUUUAUUUCUCAGUGGGUGUGACGCAUACUGCAGGAGCACAAUCAGUGAACAUUGGCAACUUGCGUACAUCUCUGUCUUUGUCCUAUUUAUAUAAUGGUGUCCGUGGUUCUCAAGUGGUAUGCUCCUGCAGCUCAUCAUCUGGAAAUCUUUCCCAGAUGUCCUGAAAUUUUUUUGAUUAACUUGUAUAUUUUAUUUUUGAUAAGUAAGUACACAUGCUUGUGACUGGAAGAGAAAACACCCUUCUCUUAAACCCAGAGGAUGAUUUGGCAUUGAGAAUAAUUGAUUCCUGCUCUGCCCACUCCACCCCUGUUAUUCAAAUAGAGAUUAUUCAGGAAAGCCCUGCCCUAUACAUUUAGCUGAUCUAAAAUAAAAGAAAAAAUUACUUUAUUUUAAAGAUUUCUGCAGGCUUUGUGUAUAACUCAGUUGUUUCUUUUUUUUCCCAUUAAGAAUCAUAUAAUCCUAGAAUAAGUUUCAUUCCUACAUAUCAAAACUGGAACACAGGUUUAAAAUAAGAAGUGAUAAUCUCUGUGGUGGCAUUUAUCCACAAAAGUGAUAUAUCUGAUUAGUGAAGUUCAGGACUCAAAACCAGGCCUUCUAUCUCUUAGCUUGUGGAAGAAUAAAGAGGGGACUAAAACUCUAUGUAUUGACAUGAAGAACUAUUUAUUAGGGGGAGCUAUCAUUAUAUACAUCAUCUCACUUUAUGCAUUAUAGUGCUUUUUCAUGGGGAGUGUGCGCAUAUACUAGUUAGUAUGUGUAUACUUAAGUGCAUGUGUGUGUGUGUGUGUGUGUGUGUGUGUGUGUGUGUGAUUCAUUAGUUCUGACCAAAUGAAUAUACCAAAGGAAUGAGAAGAAAUAUUUAUACCUUGAACUGAAGGACCUGGCUUAACUCAACAUAUGUACCAUCUUACUUUCUAGUCCAAUCCUUUACCAUGAAGGAUGGAACCUAAAGGUAACAUUGCAUUUGCUAGACUCCUUUGCAGCCUGGUUUCUGGGUGAAAUUACGUUUGACCAAUCAGAUGUCCUUACAUAACAGUGAAACAAAGGUCUCACAGCUGGCUGAUUCUGUAUAUUUAUAAUGACCUUUAUUGCGGUACACUUUAUAGAGAAUAUAAUGUACAUACUUUAAGUAUAUAGAUUGAGGAGUCCAGACAAAUGUAUAGACAUGUGUAACCAGGAUCAAUAUAAAGUUACAUAAUAAACCCCUCACCCCAGAAAAGUCCCUUGUGCCUCCUUUCCAACAAUUUUCCACCCCACCCCAAUCCAGGCAACUAUUGAUCUACUUUUUAUUACCAUGGAGCAUAGUUAUCUUUCCUAGAGAUUCAAAUAAGUGGGGUCAUACAUGUAUCCCGUUUAAGCCUGGCUGAUUUCAAUCAGUGUAGCUUCUGAAAUAUAUUCACACUGUUCCGAUGGUGCACAGGAUUCUAAGAUGGCCCCCAAGAUCCUUGCCUUCUGGAAUGCACACCAUCUCCCAGUCAUUCAAACACUCAUCUAGAUGUUACUGUGAAGGAAUUUUUCAGAUGUAAUUAAAGCCUCUAAUAAGUUUACCUUAAGUAGGAAGAUUUUCCUUGGUGAACCUGACCUUAGCAGAUGAGCCUUUAGAAAAAGAGAUAUUUGAAGCAUCAGGGAAACUCUGCCUUUGGCCUUUAAAGAGAAGAUCUCUAUAUUGUAAAGAAGGCCUAAUGGUGGAGACCCCAACCAACCUCUAGGAGCUGAGAACAACCCUGUGUUGACAGACAGCAAUAAAGCUCAGGCCUCAGUCUUAUGACCAUAAAGAACUGAAUUCUGUCACCAACCACAUGAACUGAAAAGAGACCCUGAUCUUCAUGAGAUCACAGCAGUGGCCAACACUUUGAGAGCCAACAGGUGAGACCUGAGGGGAUAACCCAGCUGCUAUCCACGCCCAGAUAUCUGAUGUACAGAGCUGUGAAUUAAUAGAUGCACAUUGUUUGAAGCUGUUAAGUUUAUGUUUAUUUGUUUUGCACCAAUAGAAAACAAAUAUAUUGUGUACAUCAUUAGAUUGUUCCUUUUUAUUGGUGAAUAUAUGUUAUAUAUGAUUGCAUAACAUAUCACCAAACAUCCAGUGUCUGAAAA